GACAUUUAUUUCCAUUCAAUUGUUAAAAGAAAAAUUACAUAAACGUUUCUUGUAACUACUUCUCUAAAGAAGGAAACAAGUACUUGGGUUUACUUGACUAUUUGUGUCCUUGUUGCUGUGGUCUCGUCUUGUAGUUCCAGGCCUGUAUCAUCAACUAUCAGGACACCUCUGGCAGACAACCCCCCACCCCACCCCCCACCACCCACUGGACCUGCCUGCCUAUUCAGCAUGUCCAUUUUAUCAAAGAUGAUGAUGGUAACCUCAUUUAAAGGAGACAGAUGCUUGGAAUGUGCACUUGAAAUAUUCCUUACCUAAGGGGACUCUGGCAGGCACAGCUCUGCGGUCGAUCCAGAAGGAAACCCAGGACAGCAUGACCAUCAGGGUGGCAGGGAAGUAAGUUUGGAGCAAGAAGAAGAAGAUGUGGCGACGCAACGUGAAGUUAAUGUACAGACGGUUGUACCAGCCUGGGGGACACAAGGAAGAAAAUACAGCACACACCAUAGCUGUUCAGCUCCUUCAUAAAUCAAAUUUUAUUCAGGGAAUCAUCAAUGUCUUAGACACUCCACUGGAACCUGGCCAUACCUUUACAAAGUGGAGAUGUGUCUUUUUACAAACUGAAGGCAAGACCCCCCAGCAGCAAAAAGAUUAUGACUCGCUUUAUUGCAGUGGUCUAGAAUUGAACCUGCAAUAUCUCCGAGGUAUGCCUGUAUUGUUCCUCUGGUUUGAGAUAAAUUCAAGUUCUUCUGUUCUUUUAUUGAUCAUAUUGAUAUCAAUAUGUUGAUAUUCAAUAUGUUGAUAUUGAUUAUAUUGAUAUUAUAUUUGUGUACUAUGUUUCAGAAGUAAUAUUAAUGAACCCUUAAUGCCAGUUGCCAAAUGCAGCACUUUUUUUAGUGUUCAUAUUUUUAUAUUGAUAAUAAUGUCUGCUAAUGAAUAUAGAUGUUUUUAGUGCAUAAGCCCAUGGAGACUAUAUAAUGGAAAAACACUGAGAGAUCUUAGUGUACCAACAUGCAAGCAUCUAAUGGUUUUGUUUUAUAAUUACACAGGAAAACAGGCUUCUGAAUCAAAGAAUAAACAAGUAGAUCAUCAGUCAUAGAAGAAAGCUUUCCCAUCUUAUGGCAGGACAUGACUAAUAUGGCUGGUAUUCAACAUACUAUUUUUUCUUCAAUAACAGAAAAUUGGCUACAUAGAAGUAGAAAAACAGACAUGGGUUAGAUUACACCACAGACUGUGCUUGUUCAGUGUGUGGGUUGCAAGUGGAGAAGCAUCAAGUCAGGAUGCACCCACCUACAUUCCGGUCCUCAUACUCUUAACUCUUCCCAACAACUCCCUGGCACCCAGAAUGCUCUUAUUAGAAAUGUAUUCUGUUAAUUAAUCAAUGAAAAGAUGGAGUUGGAAGAUGGUAUAUUAGAACAUAUUUUAGGAGUUAACCUUUUGCUGACAGAGUUGACAAUAUCCAGCUACUCUAUGUUUUUCCCCAAAUAAAUCUCAAAAUGGUAGUGUUUAGAAACUUAGGCCUCUUUUUUCCCCUUUUAAAUCAAACAAACUCAUGAUUUUAUUUUCAAUAAAAGCAUCAAGUCAUCUGUUUUUAGGCACAAGGAGGCUCACUGACAACUUUGAUUCUGAACACACAGGUCUUCCCUGCUCUUGUGCCCUCUGUUCUGCCUCAUGCUGUCACAUCCAGUGAUGUGUUGAAUCAGACAUCUACUGGCUCAUGAGAGCCGAUCACUGCAUUUUCAGGAGGUUUGCAAGCUGGUUGUUAAACAUAGCCGUUAUUAAAAUUAAAUUAUAUAAAUUUAAAAUUAAAUAAGUUAAGCACUAAAAAUAAACGUAAUAAAUAUUCAAAACUCAUCACUUCUGAAUUAUUUUCUAUUAUCUACACUCCUGAAGUUACCUACAUCUACUAUACUGUAUUUAUAUGAUGGAAAUACUAUCUAAAGAUGAGCUACCACCCAUUUCUUCCCAACACUGCAUUCAGUGACAUCAGAUAGCUUGAAAUCAGCCAGGAUGGGCAUAUCUACACUACAGAAACUGGCAAAUUCUGCAAUCAGGGCUUGAUUUAUUGCUUUGCUGACUGUUUAGACUUAAGAAAGUGUCUAAAGAAAGCAGAUUAAACCUAACAGUGUAUUAUGGCUAUUACCAUUACAUGCAAAAAAAAAAGGGGUUUAAGGGGACCAGAGAGCUGAAGGAGGGGAGUCAUUGAAAAGAAUGCAUUAUUUAUUUCUCUGACUCCCACUAGAAAAAUAAAACUUUUAUUAUAGUAAAGGUUUUCCAUUGAAAUGUAACAGACAGGGUAGAACGUAAGUCAUAACUAUCAGCUUGAGGAAUUUCCCCAAGUGUAUUUUCAAGACUGAGUAAUUCUUAACUCAUGUGUAAGAGUCCAUUUUUCUUGAUGUUGAAAAGUUGACAGCUCCUGAAGAGUUAAAGGCCAGCUAUUCAAGGCCAAAAAGCAAAGUACUUGUUGUAGAACCAGUGACUUUCUUGGUUAAGACAAACUGCUUGCCUUUCUUCCCAAGCUCGAGGUAUAAAAAACAUACCAACUCCGCAGGUAAAAGGGCCCAGAGGGAGGACGGAGCCGGGCCUCACCUGAGGCUGUAGAGCACCGUCCCGUCGGGCUGGACCCGCAGCAUGACGUUCUCCGUGGUGGUGUCGUGGAUGAAGGAGCGCUUGGAGUGCACAAAAAACAUGUCGGGGACCCAGAUCUUCUUCACCAGCCGCCCGUCAAACGUCAUGCUGAGGUUGUUGGUGCUGGGGAAGGACAGCCUCUCGUCCUUCCAAUAGUGCCUCAGGUAGAGGGUCAUGGUGAAGUCCUGGGCAGAGGGCAGAGAAGGGAACCCCACACACUGAACCCACUGGUUGUCAGCAAGGCAUUCUCUACCCCUGUGGAGCCAUCACCUGGCUGGGAGUGAAACUGAGCUGCCAGCACUGUGCCCGCUGCCGCUGCCAGAGGGCUCCCGGGCGCACACACAGGGCAAGCAGGAGACUGAAUGCCUCUGGAAGCAGCUCUCAACCGGAGAGUGGGGUUGGGGGCUCAGGGGGAUGGAUAAGUGCCCCAGCGCCCUGGAUACUCAGUUGGGACAACCCUGAAGUGUGCUCCGUGCUGACUCCCAGAGUACCCCAAUGGGACAGCGUUUCACCCCCCAAUAGUAAGCGAUGUGAUGGCACUGCCCUUUUCGCUCCAUUCCCUUCCCUGUCUCACCUUCCCACUCUCUUCUCAUGUUUCCUGGAAUCACCUCC